rnacentral:misc_RNA from 1 species
GAGAGUUAGAGCAAAGCAAAACGCACAAUGUCUUUUGCAGCAUCUAGGGUUUUCAAGGGGUGCAGAGCCCUGUUAGCCCCAACGAAGUCCGCUGCCGCCACAACAACAACUGCUGCGUCGAAACCAAGAGCCACCAAGACAGCGGAAAAACGGAAGUCAAAACCGGCAGAUCCUCUUAAGCGUACUGGGAUACUUAAGGCCACCCCCAUCUCCCCUGCUCUUCGCGACUUUCUGGGGGUUCCUGAAUCCUCUCGUACGGAUGCCGUCAAGAAGAUAUGGGUUUAUAUCAAGGAUCAAAAGUUGCAGAACCCCGCAGAUAAGAAGGAGAUCUUUUGUGAUGAGAAGCUGAAGACCAUAUUUGAUGGAAAAGAAAAAGUUGGAUUCCUGGAGAUAGGGAAGUUGCUAUCAUGUCAUUUUGUGAAGACCGGUUAACUUUCAUUAUUUGGUGUUGGAUUUGUGGCUGAACUCUUCAUGGAGCAAAGUUCUUAACUACUGAUCUUGAAUCGUUUUAUGUGCUAUUAUACUGAUAUUUUCCUUUUGCAUGAGAGCCAAGCGUUUAUGAAUUGUAUUGCUACUGAACAAGCAUUUAGCUGGACAUUAUGUAAAAAUUGGCUAGGAAAAAAGGGUUCAUAAUUUGACCUGUUUUCUAACAUCAGUUUCUUAUGAUUUUUCAUCAUAUGAGUAGAUAAUCUGAUUAGGUAAAUGGGUGCUGAACCUUCCUCCGCAAAUAAUGCAUGUGUUUUCCAGAUGGAGGCAUUGAGCCUGGUGAGGUAAUGCAUUGAAAAUUUUUUGUGGUAGCCCUAUAUAUGUAUACACACGACUUUGACCGGAGCUCAAAUUCGAGACCUGGGAGACGAUUAUAAAAGUUGGCUUUCCAAACAAAAAUGGAAUGUAGUUUAUCCUUGUCUCCAGCCUACAACAUUUAUUUUCUCUCGAUUUUGUAGUGGAUGGGAGGUUAAAAAAGUGCCUUUUGAAAAGCAUCAUUUUAGUUGAGAUGGAAGAAGAUUCCCAUUUAGAAGGUUGAGAUUGGGAAGAGGUUAAAAUUACCAGAGCUCAUCACGAGAAAGACGACUUUCUCCAACUGGUUUUCAAUGAAGAUGAAUCGAUGUCCUAAAUGGAGAAUCCAAGGAAGAAUUACAUUGAUGUAACCAAGGGGGUGGGAGGUGGGGAUAGGAUGGCAACAGCUUAAGUUGCUCAAAUAAAUUGUUUCAAUUUUGUAAUUUAUUGAAAUAUGGUUUGUUUGUUUAAUUAUGAUUAAAGUCAUAGCAAAAGCAUGCCCUGAUUUUAGUUGUUCCAGCGUUUAGAUAAAGAAGCUUUGCUUACUUGAUAAAAUUAUUGUAGAUAGGUGCCAGCAAAAGUACCUGAUUGGAAGGAAGUUUUCAGUUUCAUACGAACUGGUAUGAAGAUGCUUUGUUUGCCUGUUUCCACAAGCAUAGGGCGCAAUAAAUCUUAAUCCACAUAUAGCAUUCUUGCUGCCAAAAACAAAGAAGAAAUUCCCCUCUCCUCUUUUGGAAGCUUGCUUCUCCAUUUUGACAGAGUUGGCAUUUAUAAGGGAGUGACAGGUUUCUCAUAUGGCUUGCCAAAAAGAAUCCAGAUUCAGUAAAUUAUUUGGGACUUGAAAUCUGGCAGAAAGUAUGCUGGUCGAGCGUGAUGAACUCUGGGUAAAAGAACUGGCUCUUGGUAGCAUAAGUCUCCUCUUUGCAAAGGCUGCAGUUUCCUUCUGGCAACUGGUUCUCGAGUACCCUCAACCCUUGAUGUUUAUUUCAAUUUUGCUGCAGUAUAUAAUACGAAGCUA